UGAACGCUGGCGGCAUGCCUUACACAUGCAAGUCGAACGGUAACGGGCCUUCGGGUGCCGACGAGUGGCGAACGGGUGAGUAAUAUAUCGGAACAUGCCCAGUAGUGGGGGAUAACGUAGCGAAAGUUACGCUAAUACCGCAUACGUCCUAAGGGAGAAAGGGGGGGAUCGCAAGACCUCUCGCUAUUGGAGUGGCCGAUAUCGGAUUAGCUAGUUGGUGAGGUAAAGGCUCACCAAGGCGACGAUCCGUAGCUGGUCUGAGAGGACGACCAGCCACACUGGGACUGAGACACGGCCCAGACUCCUACGGGAGGCAGCAGUGGGGAAUUUUGGACAAUGGGGGCAACCCUGAUCCAGCCAUGCCGCGUGUGCGAAGAAGGCCUCGGUUGUAAGCACUUUGUUCGGACGAAAGUUUACACACUAUACUGUGAGGCGAUGACGGUACCUGAAGAAUAAGACACCGGCUAACUACGCGCCAGCAGCCGCGGUAAUCU
rnacentral:rRNA from 1 species